UACGUAGGCAGCGAGCGUUGUUCGGAAUUACUGGGCGUAAAGAGUGUGUAGGCGGUGCUCUAAGUUCGGUGUGAAAUCUCCUGCUUAACUGGGAGGGUGCGCCGGAAACUGGAGUGCUCGAGCGUGGGAGAGGAAAGCGGAAUUCCUGGUGUAGCGGUGAAAUGCGUAGAUAUCAGGAGGAACACCUGCGGUGUAGACGGCUUUCUGGACCAUAACUGACGCUGAGGCACGAAAGCGUGGGUAGCAAACAGG
rnacentral:rRNA from 1 species